rnacentral:lncRNA from 1 species
AAAAACUCUAUUAAAUUGUUUUUGUUUCAAAUUAUUUACAACAAAUUAAAUCCAAUAAGGCCUAAGUUUUUGGAACUUGACAAGUUUACCAAUUUGGUCCUUAAAAUUGGAUUCUGUUAAGGUACAAUGAUGUGACGCUUGAAAUUCGUUAUCUAAAAAUUUUAGAAGUAUAUAUACUAUCUAAAUUUUUUUUAAAAGAAUUACAAAGAAAUCAAUUUUAGAAUGCCACAUCAUUAUAUUUCAACAGAAUCCAAAUUCAAGAAUUACUAAAUUGAGGGACUAAAUGUUAAAUUUAAC